rnacentral:rRNA from 1 species
AUCCAGACUCCUACGGGAGGCAGCAGUGAGGAAUAUUGGUCAAUGGUCGGGAGACUGAACCAGCCAAGCCGCGUGAGGGAGGAAGGUACAGAGUAUCGUAAACCUCUUUUGUCAGGGAACAAAGACUGGGACGCGUCCCCGGAUGAGUGUACCUGAAGAAAAAGCAUCGGCUAACUCCGUGCCAGCAGCCGCGGUAAUACGGAGGAUGCGAGCGUUAUCCGGAUUUAUUGGGUUUAAAGGGUGCGUAGGCGGUCCGGAAAGCCGGGGGAAAAAGCCGGGGGCCCAACCCGGGCGAGCCGUUGAAACUGGCUGUCUUGAGAUGUCGAGAGGUAUGCGGAAUGCGCAGUGUAGCGGUGAAAUGCUUAGAUAUUGCGCAGAACUCCGAUUGCGAAGGCAGCAUACCGGCGGCGAUCUGACGCUGAGGCACGAAAGCGUGGGUAUCGAACAGGAUUAGAUACCCCUGUAC